AUCAACGCUGGCGGCGUGCCUAACACAUGCAAGUCGAACGCGAAAGCCCCGCAAGGGGUAAGUAGAGUGGCAAACGGGUGAGUAACACGUGGGUGACCUGCCUUCGAGUGGGGGAUAACGUCCCGAAAGGGACGCUAAUACCGCAUGACAUCCUGCCUUUGGAAAGGCGGAGAUCAAAGCCGGGGAUCGCAAGACCUGGCGCUUGAAGAGGGGCCCGCGCCUGAUUAGCUAGUUGGUAGGGUAACGGCCUACCAAGGCAACGAUCAGUAUCCGGCCUGAGAGGGCGGACGGACACACUGGGACUGAGACACGGCCCAGACUCCUACGGGAGGCAGCAGUGGGGAAUUGUUCGCAAUGGGCGCAAGCCUGACGACGCAACGCCGCGUGGAGGACGAAGAUCUUCGGGUCGUAAACUCCUGUCGAGCGGGACGAACACCCAUCCGGUGAACAUCCGGGAGGGCUGACGGUACCGCUAAAGGAAGCCCCGGCUAACUCCGUGCCAGCAGCCGCGGUAAUACGGGGGGGGCAAGCGUUGUUCGGAAUUACUGGGCGUAAAGGGCUCGUAGGCGGCCAACUAAGUCCGACGUGAAAUCCCCAGGCUUAACCUGGGAACUGCGUCGGAUACUGGAUGGCUUGAAUUCGGGAGAGGGAUGCAGAAUUCCAGGUGUAGCGGUGAAAUGCGUAGAGAUGUGGAGGAACACCGAUGGCGAAGGCAGCCCCCUGGGCUGACACUGACGCUCAGGCACGAAAGCGUGGGGGAGCAAACAGGAUUAGAUACCCUGGUAGUCCACGCCCUAAACGAUGUCACUGGGUGUUGGGGAAGCGAUUCCUUGGUACCGUAGCUAACGCGUGAAGUUGACCGCCUGGGGAGUACGGCCGCAAGGUUAAAACUCAAAGGAAUUGACGGGGACCCGCACAAGCGGUGGAUGAUGUGGAUUAAUUCGAUGCAACGCGAACAACCUUACCUACCCUUGACAUGUCUGGAAGCCUGGUGAGAGCUGGGUGUGCCCGAAAGGGAACCGGAACACAGGUGCUGCAUGGCUUGUCGUCAGCUCGUGUCGUGAGAUGUUGGGUUAAGUCCCGCAACGAGCGCAACCCUUGUCCCUAGUUGCUACGCAAGGGCACUCUAGGGAGACUGCCGGUGACAAACCGGAGGAAGGUGGGGAUGACGUCAAGUCCUCAUGGCCCUUAUGGGUAGGGCUUCACACGUCAUACAAUGGCCGGUACAGAGGGUUGCCAAAGCGCGAGCUGGAGCCAAUCUCAUAAAACCGUUCUCAGUUCGGAUUGUAGGCUGCAACUCGCCUACAUGAAGCUGGAAUCGCUAGUAAUCGCGGAUCAGCAUGCCGCGGUGAAUACGUUCCCGGGCCUUGUACACACCGCCCGUCACACCACGAGAGUUUGUAACACCCGAAGUCGGUGGGGUAACCCUUACGGGAGCCAGCCGCCUAAGGUGGGACAGAUGAUUGGGGUG
rnacentral:rRNA from 1 species